rnacentral:rRNA from 1 species
AGCUAAACUCUAGCCCAACCCAUCCCCAAUUAACAACUAACCCCCUUUAAACCCACAAACUAAAACAUUCUCUCAACUUAGUAUAGGCGAUAGAAAAGUCCUCUCGGCGCGUUAGAGACCCGUACCGUAAGGGAAAGAUGAAAUAAUAAUGAAAACUUAAGCAACACACAGCAAAGAUAAACUCUUGUACCUCUUGCACCAUGGUUUAGCAAGUAUAACCAAGCAAAACGAAUUUAAGCUUGCCCUCCCGAAACCUAAGCGAGCUACUUGUAGGCAGCUACAUUUUGAGCGAACCCGUCUCUGUUGCAAAAGAGUGGGAUGACCUACUAGUAGAGGUGAAAAGCCAAUCGAGCUAGGUGAUAGCUGGUUGCCUGUGAAAUGAAUCUAAGUUCAUCCUUAAUUCCUCUCCAAGGAUCAACAACCAACCCACACGUAGUGAAUUAAGAGUAAUUCAAAGGAGGUACAGCUCCUUUGAUAAAGAACACAAUCUCCCGCAGCGGAUAACACGCCUUACUUCUACCAACUUGUAGGCCUUCAAGCAGCCACCAACAAAGAGUGCGUCAAAGCUCCCACCUCAAAAAUAUGAAAACAGCACAACUCCCUCCUCACUAACAGGCUAAUCUAUUCACAAUAGAAGAAUCAAUGCUAAAAUAAGUAACUAGGACCACUUCCUCUAAAGCGCAACGCUUACAUCACUACAUUAUUAACAGCACCCAAUUAAUACAAUAACCCCCAACAAGCCCACACAUUAAAAUAACCCUGUUAACCCAACCCAGGAGCGCCCGCUAGAAAGACUAAAAUCUGCAAAAGGAACUAGGCAACCCCAAGACCCGACUGUUUACCAAAAACAUAGCCUUCAGCAAGCCUAGUAUUGAAGGUGAUGCCUGCCCAGUGACCCCUACAGUUUAACGGCCGCGGUAUCCUAACCGUGCGAAGGUAGCGCAAUCAAUUGUCCCGUAAAUUGGGACUUGUAUGAAUGGCUAAACGAGGUCUCAACUGUCUCUUGCAGAUAGUCAGUGAAAUUGAUCUCCCUGUGCAAAAGCAGGAAUAGACCCAUAAGACGAGAAGACCCUGUGGAACUUAAAAAUCAGUAGCCACCUGCACAAAAACAACCACCUACUAGGUAUAUACACCACAUAACCCAAACACUGGCUCACAUUUUUUGGUUGGGGCGACCUUGGAGAAAAGAAAAACCUCCAAAAAUAAGACCACCCCUCUUAACUAAGAACAACCCCUCAAUGUACUAAUAGUAACCAGACCCAAUAAAAUUGAUAAAUGGACCAAGCUACCCAGGGAUAACAGCGCAAUCUCUCCCAAGAGCCCCUAUCGACGGAGAGGUUUACGACCUCGAUGUUGGAUCAGGACAUCCUAAUGGUGCAGUCGCUAUUAAGGGUUCGUUUGUUCAACGAUUAAUAGUCCUACGUGAUCUGAGUUCAGACCGGAGCAAUCCAGGUCGGUUUCUAUCUAUGCUACACUCUCUCCAGUACGAAAGGACCGAGAAAGUAAGGCCAAUACCACAAGCACGCCUUCUCCCUAAAUAGUGCCACCAACUAAACUAUAAAAGGAACCCCACAUACCCUCCCCAGCCCUAGAAAAGGGCC